GUUUAAUUCUGACAGUAAAUUUGGCACAAAAAAAUCUAAAGAAAGUAGGAACGACAACAAAAACGUUCUGGGGUGGCAAAGCAUCCUAUACAGCAGGAAGGGCACGCACGCACAGAGGCUGAACCGGAAGCACAUCCAAAUGCACGGAGGCUGAACCGGAAGCACAUCCAAAUGCACAGAGGCUGAACCGGAAGCACAUCGAAAGGUCUGGAACAGCAGGGAAUGCUGAGAAAGGCGAGCAAGGAGGAGAGGAAAAACUGCUGAGUUCAGGGUUGCAUGCUGUGUGGAAGAGUUGAGAGAUGAAAAAGCAAAGGAGAGAUGAUAUUCAACUGUGCCAGCAGAGGGUGGGUGGACCACAGAGAGGAGUUCACUUGGCAAACAGAACAUUACAAUAAUAACAGUCAGGAAGACGUGAAGGCCUGGAGCAGGCAAGCCGCAGAGGCAGGGGUGGGAAACACUUCUGCUGAGAAGCAGCAAGCUGUCUGGAAGACUUGAUUUGUAACACGAAUGGCAUUGCUAUUAAAAGUGAUGGAGAGACCUG
rnacentral:lncRNA from 1 species